rnacentral:rRNA from 1 species
UACGUAGGUGGCAAGCGUUGUCCGGAUUUAUUGGGCGUAAAGGGCGCGCAGGCGGUUCGUCAAGUCCGAGGUGAAAUCUCCCGGCCUAACUGGGAGGGGUCUUCGGAUACUGGCGGACUUGAGGAGAGCAGAGGUGAGCGGAAUUCUCGGUGUAGUGGUGAAAUGCGUAGAUAUCGAGAGGAACACCAGCGGCGAAGGCGGCUCACUGGGCUCCACCUGACGCUGAGGCGCGAAAGCGUGGGGAGCAAACCGGAUUAGAAACCCGAGUAGU